rnacentral:rRNA from 1 species
CUCCCGCCGGCGACCGGCGCACGGGUGAGUAACACGUAUGAAACCUGCCCGUAGCAGGGGGAUAAGCGGAAGAAAUUCCGUCUAAUACCGCGUAACAACCCGAGGAGGCAUCUCCUCGGGUUUAAAGGAAGCGAUUCCGGCUACGGAUGGUCAUGCGUCGCAUUAGCUUGUUGGCGGGGUAACGGCCCACCAAGGCGACGAUGCGUAGGGGUUCUGAGAGGAAGGUCCCCCACACUGGUACUGAGACACGGACCAGACUCCUACGGAAGGCAGCAG